GGGCAGCGACGACAUCUCCUCCACGUCUCUUCAAUUUUUGGCGCGAGCCUUUGCUCGGCCGACGUCGGUUUCCUGUGCUGAAUACCUAUUGCGAUGGCAUUAUGUCGGCUAUGUUUGUCCCCUUCCCACCUUGUUCCGCUGCUCCACGUGGGCGUGCGGUGCGGGGCGGGCCAAAUCGCGCGCGUCGUGUGUCGCACCGCGUUCGCCCCUUGGGGCGUUCGGGUUGUCGACCCACGACGUGUUGCUCGGUCUCUCGGGUACGGUGCAUCAUGUGGGUACGAGGCCAUCGGCCUCCGAGCACCACAAUCAAGCGUUCUACGCUUCGUGCGAACNANNNNNGGCUCNGNCUUUGGNCGNGU
rnacentral:misc_RNA from 1 species